CUGUAAAUCAACAUUGAUGCUACAUUUACAUCGCUACGUUUUGGUUUUUAAGCUGAGUUUUGAUCCAAAAGUGAUCUCCGUGUAGUGUUUUUAUUUCCAGUAGAAGAGCUAAUCUCUGUUUAAACUAACACGCCCAAACCUCAUAUCUCAUCAACAUUCUGGUAUACUGGGUAUAAAGAGGAGGCAGCGUGUAGACUCCGCCUGCUGCUGUGUGUUGCCAUGGUAACAUUAG